GUUAGCAUUUAGACAAUUUAUUAUAUAUAAAUCUAGCUCUGACUGUCAAGUUCCUUUUUACUGCUAUGUUCAUAAGACUUGAUGAUAUUUAUUAAAUCUCUCAAGUCAUCUUUCCUUUUCAUCAUUCUUCAGCACUCUGUUUUUAAUAGCCAAUGCUUAGUCAAGUUAAUUUAAAGAUUUACUGUCCAGAAGUUACAGUAAAUUUUUUUUUUUUUUUACCAAAAAUGGUGUGAGUAAUGACCUGUU
rnacentral:lncRNA from 1 species